AAUCGCGAUCUCCUGUUGUUUAGAAUCAUCACCAAAGAGAGAUUCAAGGGUAGUCCAAAUCUAUUGAGAAGUUUCACAAUGGAGAACUUCAGCCAAGGUUUCUUCCAUAAGGGAAGCUAGGAGUAGAUUGACAAGUCGUUGGUCUUGUUGUUUAUUGACGGUAGAGGACAGAGAAUCAUUGACAGAUGUUAACAUGGCAGGAGGGGC
rnacentral:lncRNA from 1 species